rnacentral:lncRNA from 1 species
AGCGAUACUAAUCGACAUAAGUAGACCCAAAACUUAUAUACAAGACUUGGCCGUUGAGACCACAACUUGUUAAGAUGCAGCUGGACCAUAUACAUAAGUCUACAAAGCCUCUAAAAGAUGGAAAUCCUUAGAGUAGGUCGGGACAGACCCCGCCUUACCCUUAACUACGAUACAAUACCAAAAUGAAUCUACCAAGGGCUCAGUAAAGCUCCGAAGCAACGUGGAGCUUACCAAAAGUAGCUGAGUGUCGUAUGCUCCUAUUGAGGAGGUCUACUAGCGGGAGUACCUGUGCCUGCAACAUGAAAUGCAGCGUCCCCCGCGAGGGACGUCAGUACGAAAGAUGUACUGAAUAUGUAAGGCCACAACACAUAUAAAACAAGAGUUCAAAUGAAACCAAGUAUCGAUGUAUAAGUGCAUAAAUCAGAACCAAAGACCACCUCUAUUAACUCUUAUGGGAUCAUGUAUGUUACAUUCUUGCCCUUACCUUUAUGUGUGUUAUGAUCUUUAUAAGGCAUGUGAUACUAAUGACCAGCUGAUCAGUGGUAGAAGAGGAUGACCCAUGCUAGGCCUUUUAACCCCUGGGAUGCGGUCCUCAAAAUUACACAAAUCGGGAUCGGCCCAUGCUAGGCUUUCGCCCCUGAGCUGCCACCCAUGCUUAUACAAAUUGCUUCACUUAGAUUCUGUAAUCUUUGAGAUUGUUGUUUUGGUGGUCAUAAUCAUUUUUGAGAUUUGGAAAUACGGAACAGUAGUAGAAGACAUGAAAAUAAUACUUUAGGGCAGUAGCUACAAUAUAAGGAGCUAUGGAACGUUAAUACAUUACUUGAGAGCUUAAAUCACACAAAUGACUCCAAUUGACUAUAGAGUACCGAAUGUAAAAUUACGUAAUUCUAUACACUUAGGGGGGUUAGCUAUUUGGAUAUCGUAUGUUGCCACUAUGUUUCCUAUACUAGGAAUAGAACUUAGGAAAUACACUUGUUGAUAUCCAUCGUAAGGAUCUGAUUUCAUGCCAAGGAAUAUCGAAUAGCCCUACAUACCUUAUUUUCGGACCAAUCCAAUUGUCACGAUUCAGCCUCCCUUCUUGGGUGCUAAUCUACAAUAUAAAUCAUGAUUAAGCUGACGUUAGCAUCUAAUCACUUUAAGGCCCUAUAAAACAGUAGCUAAACACUCGACGGAAAGUAGGCCCAUACAACCCUUGCACAAUGGUGAACCACCACCCCUUCCUUCUACACAUUAAUACAACUUCAUACAUCCUUUGCCAAGAUACCCAAACAGCCCCCAACAACAAUAUACAUAAGGCAGCCACUAUCAAUCCCUAAGAAUUUUUCAGCAUAAAAGGAGAAUAUUGACUCAAGGAUUUGUCACCAUCCAUUAGUUCUUGAUAAAUACAAGCACAAUUCUCCACCCCAAAUCUGAAUUUAAAGAGAAGCAAAAAUGGGCAGUAGCCUUACCUUAGUGUUUGGGAAUUUAUCCUCUAAACUUGUACUUCAAGAACUGAAACUCUCCUUCAAACUUUUACUUGGAAAGGGGGCAAUACUCAAGAACCCAAGGUGUUCUAGGGCUGCUAAUUGAAGCCAAGAGAGACCAAGAGAGAACUUAAGAAAUCUGAAAAUUUUGCAAGGUAAAAAUGAAGCAAAAGAUCUGAUCUUUAUCCCUUUAAAAAGGAGGUGUAAUGGCCGAAUUUCUUGACUAAUUUUGGCCAUGUAUUGUCAAGUAGGUGACCCACCUCUUGGUCCCACCUACUUGGCCUUAUAACUUGGGCUUUUGGGAAUUUCAACACUUGUUGGGCCCUACUCCGAAUUAUCCCUCUAUUCUUGUCAAUUUGGGCCAUACUUAAUGCAAGUAGGUGGUCCACCUAUUUGGACUUUUCACUUGGGCCUUUUAGGGCUUAAGACUAUUGGGCCUUGGCUGUCCAUUUUUUCCCCUUAUCCUUCUACUCAACUUGGGCCAAAUUAAUGCAAGUAGGUGGUAGUGCAUUUGGCCCAAUUACCACCUUACUACCUCUAGUUUAAAUACUUCUAUCGGAGUUAACUUGCAGUACACAUGCUAAAAUGUGCAAGGUGUUACAUCUCCUUCCGGGCUAGUUUAAACCAACACUAAUCAUAUAAGAAGUACGGUCACUCACCUAUACUAUAAGGCUAUCUUUUGUCAAGUAUCGCAUGAAUAGAACU